rnacentral:rRNA from 1 species
CCUACGGGGGGCAGCAGUGAGGAAUAUUGGUCAAUGGGCGUAAGCCUGAACCAGCCAAGUCGCGUGAGGGAUGACUGCUCUAUGGAUUGUAAACUUCUUUUAUAAAGGAAUAAAAUGAGGGACGUGUCCCGUUUUGUAUGUACCUUAUGAAUAAGGAUCGGCUAACUCCGUGCCAGCAGCCGCGGUAAUACGGAGGAUCCGAGCGUUAUCCGGAUUUAUUGGGUUUAAAGGGAGCGUAGGCGGCCUUUUAAGUCAGCUGUGAAAGUUUGUGGCUCAACCAUAGAAUUGCAGUUGAAACUGGGAGGCUUGAGUAUAUUUGAGGCAGGCGGAAUUCGUGGUGUAGCGGUGAAAUGCUUAGAUAUCACGAAGAACCCCGAUUGCGAAGGCAGCCUGCCAAGCCAUGACUGACGCUGAUGCACGAAAGCGUGGGGAUCAAACAGGAUUAGAUACCCCGGUAGUC